rnacentral:tRNA from 1 species
AAGAACUGCUAAUUCAUGCUACCACACCUAACAAUGUGGCUUUUUCA